rnacentral:rRNA from 1 species
GACGAACGCUGGCGGCGUGCUUAACACAUGCAAGUCGAACGGAAAGGCCCUGCUUUUGUGGGGUGCUCGAGUGGCGAACGGGUGAGUAACACGUGAGUAACCUGCCCUUGACUUUGGGAUAACUUCAGGAAACUGGGGCUAAUACCGGAUAGGAGCUCCUGCUGCAUGGUGGGGGUUGGAAAGUUUCGGCGGUUGGGGAUGGACUCGCGGCUUAUCAGCUUGUUGGUGGGGUAGUGGCUUACCAAGGCUUUGACGGGUAGCCGGCCUGUGAGGGUGACCGGCCACAUUGGGACUGAGAUACGGCCCAGACUCCUACGGUAGGCAGCAGUGGGGAAUAUUGCACAAUGGGCGGAAGCCUGAUGCAGCAACGCCGCGUGCGGGAUGACGGCCUUCGGGUUGUAAACCGCUUUCGCCUGUGACGAAGCGUGAGUGACGGUAAUGGGUAAAGAAGCACCGGCUAACUACGUG